ensembl:lncRNA
CCUGUUUGGGUCCUUUAGUCUUCCGCUCCCACACAUCUUUAUCCAUGCCCACUUUACUGAGACUUACAUAUCUGCUUGACCUUCAUAAAUCUGCCCACACCACUUAUUUCCAUGACUUAAUUAAAACAAACAAAAACACUAAUAUUAAUAACAAUUUAACUAAAGUUAAACAUUUAUAAUUGUUGUUUGUCACUUCUUUUAAUAAUAAGAGCACACUGAGCACAUACAUAACUUACGCUUGGUUUAUAAUCAGAAGGUUUUUCUUUUUUUUUUUUCUUGUCCUUUGCAGUUUAAAUGUGUUUUAGAUCUGAGGACUUGACGCUCAAUAGCAGCGUAGAACUUGAUGUAAGGUGGCAGAUUAUGGAGCCAAUUGAGAUAAGUUGCAGUGAUAAAUUUCAGGUGACAGGCUAGAUAGGCUCAUUGUGUUCCUUUUCCUUUUUUUUUUCCUUCCCCCUUUUAUCUGCGAACUCUUGGUCGAGUGCCAAGUGGAAUCAAAGCAUCGAGCAGCCGAGGAAGCGGAGGAGAGAGUCAGUUUGUGAACAGUCUGAAUUUGAGCUCCUCCAAAGUUGAGAUUUAGUUUUAGAGUUGGGGUUCAAUUUUUUUUUUUAAUUUAGGCUUCGUGCAUUUUCUACUUUUUCACAACCUCCGCCUUUAUCCCCCUCUCCCUCCCUCAAUUCCUGUCUUUCUGUCAUUCUCAUGCACCACAUGGCCUCCUGCAUGCCAUUUGUGUUACUUUCUUGAGUUAUUGCGAGAAGUGCGAGUGUCGAGGCGAACAGAAGGGAACAAAGACAGUGAGAUGAACCCCUCAUCGAUCUUCGUAUUGAGAACAUCUGCCCCAAACCUGAGGGGGGUUAGCAGACUAAGUGGAAGUGGUGCGAAGCUGCAAGCAAACCAAGCAAACCGGAGUUCAGGUACAAGCUGAUGUCUUGCAUACAACUAAUAAUGCAACGGUUAGUAGUUUAUGAAGUACACCCGUUCAACUUGUCAUUAACACAAAUAUCUAAGCCAAUCACACGGCAGGAACUCAGUGCAUUUAGGCAGGUAGACACAGACAACAUGACCUGCUGAAUUCCAAACUGAGCAUAAAGAUAAGGAAGGAAGGUGAUUUAAGUCGUGUGGCAUUGUUUUUUAGUAUUUUUAGAAACU